CAUAUUGAAUUUAUUUUAUACUACAUUAAGAAUUCGACAACUACUCUCAAAAUUGGAAGCUAUAAUAAGACUAAAACUCUCAGUUUGAAUGCACAAAACCAAAAGUAAUACUUUAUAACUGGCUUGUUAGAAUAAUAAAUAGUUUUAGGCUUAAUAAAUCAAAUAUAUAAUUUUGAAUUUUUACUAUUAUGAAUUUAUUUAUUAAUUAAAAAAUAGCAUCUCAUUUCAGGAACCAGGUCAAAGUGAAAACAAAAGAGAAUUAUUGAUUUGAUAGGAAUAAAUUGAAAAACUAAUAAUAGUGCAUUUCUUACUAUUUAGAACUAUUCAUUUUUUUUAUUACAGUACUAAUGUAACAUUUUUAUACUCCAAGACAGAUAAACUUGAUAGUACUGUAAAAGUAAUAAGUAUCAUAACUGUUUCCAUUCAGUAAAAAAAGUCUUCAUCUAAAAGAAACAAAAAUUGAAAAGAAUUUUACACAUUUGAAAUUCUUUGUAAUAAAAGUUUAUUUUUAAAGUGAUUUCCUGGUUCAAAGUGUUACUUAAUUUCACGGGGGGGGGGGAGCAGUUAUUUCAUCGUCUCAGAAGGCACUAUCUGGCAGAUUAUCUUUCUAUGCUGUUAUUAUAAUUUAUUUUUUUAAAAAAGGUUUUGAUUUAUAAUAUUCUUUUUUUUUGUAUUAUCCUACAAACUUCUUGAACACAACAACUUUAAAAUCUGAUUUUUUUUUCUGUGUUUGCAUUGCAAUUCUUGUAUACAUACAUAUAUACCUGAACAUUACAAUAAGAUAUGAAAAAUGGAUUAUAAAACAAAUAUAAGAAACUGGAAAAAAGUAAAAUAUUUUAAUAACAUUAUGAAUGCGACAAAAUGCAAAAUAUUAAAAGGAUAAUACGCAAUCAAUGAAUGCAGUUUCUUUAGAAACUACAUCUUGCAUGUGAUAUCUAUACAGUGGGCUUGCUUUCAUUUCAUAAGGACCUAAAAUUCUUUCCCUUAACUGCGGGGAAGAUGAUAACUGUUGCAUGUUAUAAUUCCGCAUGGGAAUAUUUGGGAAAUGGGCUGCUGGGUUUUUUUUCUAUCUGUACCUCCACGUGACCAUCAAUAUUAUCACGCAUAUCAUCCACAUUCGAAAAUCCUUUCCCUGGCAUUAAAUCUGAAUUUCCAAAACUCCUACCUUUAACAUCAUCGAAUAAAAUGAACCUUUUGCCAAUGGCCUGACCGAGAUAAAAUGAUAGGCGGCCUUUGUCAACGUUCACAUUUAUAUUCAUUCCUUGAAAAAGCUUACAAAAAACGUUUGAGAAUGUCGUUUUUCCACUUUUAUAGUCGCCCUGUAAAACGAUGUACCUUUUUCUUGGCAUUUAAGAUUUUUCUAGCAAUACCUUUAAAAUUAGGUAUAACUUCUGAACAAUAGUACCAGGCUUCACCAACUUUAUCCAUACUAAAAUUUUCCUGAAUAUCAUCUCCAAUCUCUUUACACCUUCUGUUACACCUAUACUGGCAAUUUGUUUCCCGUCGGCUUUGAAUUAGAAGUUUUGCAAAUACACUCUUCACUGCAUUUUUAGCCACCCUUUUUUUAUCGGAUAUAUGUUCGAAUAUUUUUGCAUUUUCUAAAUGUUUAACAUGAUCAUUUUCAUGUUCGUUUGUUAUUUAAGAAGGACUUCGGUCGCAGCCAGAACUCAGAUGGGAGUAUCCAUACAUCAGUUCAUAGGGAUCGUCCAUUUCAUUAGCUAAUGCAAAAUCUGCCAACAUUUUGUAAUUCAUUUUUUUUAUUUCCAUCUGAUGUGGAGCAUUUUAUUUCAAAUUUUACUGGCUCUUCUUUCGAAGGACCAUACUUAUCUUUACAAAAUUCAAUACAUUUCGCGAUUUUAGUGGUAUACAAGGCCGUUGUACUUUCCAAACUGGAUAAUGGUUCCUCAAUAUACGGUUCUGCUAGAAAAAGCAUUUUGCAAAAACUGGAUCCUAUUCACCACAUAGCUCUCCGUCUUUGUUCAGGUGCUUUCAGGACAUCCCCUGUUAAAAGCUUGUAUGUUGAAACCUGUGAACCAGCCCUUGAAUUAAGAAGACAAUUUUCAUCUCUUAAUUAUUAUUUUAAAAUUCAAUCGAACAUUAAUCAUCCAUUUUAUGAUUUUAAACUUCGCCCCUUUUUAGUUCGCUUGCAAGAUGCCCGAAAAUCAUUCAUCCCUGUCUUUUUUACAAGAGUUCAUAAUAUUCUUUUAGACCUUAAUCUACUGUAUCUACAUGCAUCUCCUCAACCGGAAAAUACUUUUCCACCUUGGAAAAUCCCUGAAGUACAAUAUUUAAAUCCUUUUGAAACUUUUAUCAAGUCUGAUACAGCAAAUAUCGUUUUUCAAAAAUUUUUCUUAGAACACAGACAACAAUAUCAAAAUUUUAUUCCAGUUUUUACAGACGAGCAAAAUCAGCUGCUCAUGUCUCUUUUGCGGUUGUUUUCCCUCACACAGUUUCUUCUUUUUAACUUCACCCCUCCUGUUCAGUUUUUACUGCAGAAAUAAGUACUCUUUUAUAUGCUUUAGAAGAAAUUUCUAAUAGCCGGGACAAAAACUUUAUCAUCUAUACGGAUUCUCUGAGUGUUUUAAAUUCUCUAAAAUCAUGUAAUCCUCAUCCUUUGAUUUUAAAAAUCUUAGAUAAUUUUGCUAAACUAACUUCUCUUAGUUACACUAUUUUAUUCUGUUGGAAUUGUGGGCAAUGAAGAGGCAGAUAAGGCUGCCAAAUUGGCGACUACUUCAAUGGCUACUAAUAUUCCUGUGAACGACAUAAGGAAACAUAUUAAAAAGCUUCUAUAUUCUAAUUGGCAAAGACAUUGGGAUCUGUAAACAAACAGCAAACUUCAUGUUAUCAAACCCCAUGUGCAACCCUGGCCCUCAUUAGCGAACAGAAAAGCGGAUACUGUCUUAACACGAUUACGAAUUGGACACAUUCGAUUUACCCAUAAUCAUUUGUUGUUAGGUGAACAACCACCACUGUGUUCGCGAUGCCAUUGUCAAAUUUCCGUUCAACAUAUUUUGUCAGAAUGCCCAAAUUUCAAUGCUAAGCGUUUACAGUUUUUUCAAAAGUCUUUCCCUUCAUUAUUUUCCUUGCUUAAUAAGGCAUCUCAUGUCCAAAUUUUUGCUUUUUUAAAGUCCAUAAAGUUUUAUCCGUUGAUUUAAAUCUUGUUUACUUUUUAGCUUCCAUUCGUUUACUUUUAUAUUCCAUUCGAUUACUGUUUUAAAUUAUAUAAUUUUACCCAUUGUUUGACGGAGCAUGGUCAACAUCAUGGCUCUUGCUCCAUAAAACCUCAAACAAACUCAAACUAUUAUAGAGAAAAGACUCAAUUUAAAUUAUUAAAUAAGGAAACCAACACUUAAUUUAUUAAAUUAGUUUAAAAAAUUCUUAAAAUUAUAUUAAAGAAGUAAUUUCUCUUUAAUUAAUGUCAUUUUCAUAUAAUGCAGUUAUGACAGAAUGAAGGUAAUAAUUUAUUUCUUAGCUAUUGCUUUAUUAUUCCUUUUGUUUAUUAUAAUCCAUCUUGCUAGUUUCUGUUCAUUUUACCUGCAAAGUAAACAAUGAGUUAUUGUUUUGAAUUUGUAGUUAUUAUUAUAUUUCUGUUAUUGUAGUUUUGAAGAUUAAUUUUGCAUUUACCGGAAUGAUAAAGUAAGUGGUAGCUAAAAUAAAAAUUAUUUUAUAUUGCAGGUAUGUGAGCUGCAUUUUGUAGAAGAUGAUCUUGUCAAAGAAGCUCGUGGGUUCGACAUAAACACAGGUAAAGUGCUUACCGCACCAUUGGGCAUUAAAAAAUUAAAGAAGGAGGCAUCCCUACAAUUUUUUGUGGAUAUCCAAAUUAUUUUCAAGUUCCUAAGAUCCAGAGAGAUUGUCCUGAAGAAAAGAGAGAGGAAAGAGAGCAGUCUGCUCUCAUUCAGGCUAUUGAGAACAGCAUUAAAAAAAAUGAAAUAUAUGAAAAAUCCAGGUCAUUUGGCUCUUUGGAAGAACUUGAUUUGAAGCAAUAUAUGUGGUAAAUUAACUCCACGAGAGUGCGUUCUGCAUUCUUCCGGUGAUCGGAGGGCAGAGUUCACUGGACGAGAAGGACGUCCGCCGAGAAGGGAGCAACCGGAAAUCGAGAAGACAUGAUACUCUGAAAAAAGGCCGAAACUGGAAUUCUUGCGUAGAAGAAUUCCUCUGCAAAUGCCCAGUGUACCCGUGACCUCCGAGAGACAAGGCCUGCUGGCUCUACAACUCGCUCCUGCAUGAGUCAUCACUGCCAGGCGAUCGAGAAGCCGGUUAACAAUCGUCACUCUGCACGUUUUCUGCGCGAAGUGAACGACGGCUGGCGUUUAUAAGCCUUCAUUUUUUUCUACUUUUAUAUUUAUUUCUUGAUCCAAGAUGGUGUUAUAUUGAAAUGGAUGAGAUGCAAAAGCAAGUUUAAGAUACAAAUUAUUGAAGAUGCCAUAUAAAUGCUCAGUUCCAGCUUGCCGUGGAAAUUAUGAUGAAGAAAAUAAAGUCGAUGUUUUUGGGUAUCCCACUGAUGAGGCUUUAAGAGAGAAAUGGCUGCAUGCAAUAAUUCCAAGAAAAAAAUUUACCAUUACAAAGAAUUCUAAGGUUAGCAAAAAUUAGCAUUGAUAAUUAAUACGUUUUAAUAUUUUGAAAUAGUUUCAAUUAUUUAAAAUAUUAUUAAUUAAUUAUUAAAAAUUACCUGUUAUAUUAAUUAUUAAAUUAUUAAUAAAUGUAAUGUGUAAUUAUUAAAAAAAUUGAUAAAUUGGAAAGGGAAAAAGUACCUGUUAUAGAAUAUAUGAAUAAGUAUAGAAGGGGGGGAAAUUUGUUUUGAAGGAAUAAAGUGAAAUUUAUUUUUAAAAAUUUAAUUGAAUGUAACUGUGAAAUUAAAUGUAUUUAUAUUAUUUAAGAUUGGUAAAAUUAUAACCU